UUGGUUACUUAUCAUGUAAUUUUUGCAACCACUAUCUAGAUACCAAAUAUUAUUAUUUCCUUCUGUUACAAUAUGGUAUGUAAAAAAAAAAUGUUUUUUGUAUUCUCUAUAUCUUCUACGAAAUUUGCAAAAUCACGAAUUUGACUUUUGCAGUAUUUUACAAUAUGGCCGCUUUGCUUGCAUUUGUUGCAACGUAUCUUCUUCCAACAUCUCAACGUACUGUGAUUUGAUUUUGUAAUAUAUCACACCAUAUAUUUGGACUCGAACCUGCUUCUCUCUCAAUUUAAUUUUGUUGCGUCUCCAUAUCCUGUUCACUUUUUCUCUGCGAAUUUCUUUGAUUCGUCAAAGAAUUUUGAGUUCUAAAACUUGUACAAAAAGCAAUUUCAAUAGAGUUGCUCUCAUUCUAUAAUUUUUUUACCUCGUGUGAUUCCAACGUACUCAUUAAUUAUUGAAUUGUAAGAGUAGACAAAUCUUUUGACUCUUUAAAUGUUGCAACAAUAU
rnacentral:lncRNA from 1 species